rnacentral:rRNA from 1 species
ACAAUGAAGAGUUUGAUCCUAGCUCAGGAUGAACGCUAGCUACAGGCUUAACACAUGCAAGUCGAGGGGCAGCAUGGUCUUAGCUUGCUAAGGCCGAUGGCGACCGGCGCACGGGUGAGUAACACGUAUCCAACCUGCCGUCUACUCUUGGAUAGCCUUCUGAAAGGAAGAUUAAUACAAGAUGGCAUCAUGAGUCCGCAUGUUCACAUGAUUAAAGGUAUUCCGGUAGACGAUGGGGAUGCGUUCCAUUAGAUAGUAGGCGGGGUAACGGCCCACCUAGUCUUCGAUGGAUAGGGGUUCUGAGAGGAAGGUCCCCCACAUUGGAACUGAGACACGGUCCAAACUCCUACGGGAGGCAGCAGUGAGGAAUAUUGGUCAAUGGGCGAGAGCCUGAACCAGCCAAGUAGCGUGAAGGAUGACUGCCCUAUGGGUUGUAAACUUCUUUUAUAAAGGAAUAAAGUCGGGUAUGGAUACCCGUUUGCAUGUACUUUAUGAAUAAGGAUCGGCUAACUCCGUGCCAGCAGCCGCGGUAAUACGGAGGAUCCGAGCGUUAUCCGGAUUUAUUGGGUUUAAAGGGAGCGUAGAUGGAUGUUUAAGUCAGUUGUGAAAGUUUGCGGCUCAACCGUAAAAUUGCAGUUGAUACUGGAUAUCUUGAGUGCAGUUGAGGCAGGCGGAAUUCGUGGUGUAGCGGUGAAAUGCUUAGAUAUCACGAAGAACUCCGAUUGCGAAGGCAGCCUGCUAAGCUGCAACUGACAUUGAGGCUCGAAAGUGUGGGUAUCAAACAGGAUUAGAUACCCUGGUAGUCCACACGGUAAACGAUGAAUACUCGCUGUUUGCGAUAUACGGCAAGCGGCCAAGCGAAAGCGUUAAGUAUUCCACCUGGGGAGUACGCCGGCAACGGUGAAACUCAAAGGAAUUGACGGGGGCCCGCACAAGCGGAGGAACAUGUGGUUUAAUUCGAUGAUACGCGAGGAACCUUACCCGGGCUUAAAUUGCAGAUGAAUUACGGUGAAAGCCGUAAGCCGCAAGGCAUCUGUGAAGGUGCUGCAUGGUUGUCGUCAGCUCGUGCCGUGAGGUGUCGGCUUAAGUGCCAUAACGAGCGCAACCCUUGUUGUCAGUUACUAACAGGUCAUGCUGAGGACUCUGACAAGACUGCCAUCGUAAGAUGUGAGGAAGGUGGGGAUGACGUCAAAUCAGCACGGCCCUUACGUCCGGGGCUACACACGUGUUACAAUGGGGGUACAGAGGGCCGCUACCACGCGAGUGGAUGCCAAUCCCCAAAACCUCUCUCAGUUCGGACUGGAGUCUGCAACCCGACUCCACGAAGCUGGAUUCGCUAGUAAUCGCGCAUCAGCCACGGCGCGGUGAAUACGUUCCCGGGCCUUGUACACACCGCCCGUCAAGCCAUGGGAGCCGGGGGUACCUGAAGUGCGUAACCGCGAGGAGCGCCCUAGGGUAAAACUGGUGACUGGGGCUAAGUCGUAACAAGGUAGCCGUACCGGAAGGUGCGGCUGGAACACCUCCUUU